UCAAGUCAUCAUGCCCCUUAUGCCUUGGGCUGCAAACAUGCUACAAUGGUCGGUACAACGGGUCGCGAUCCCGUGAGGGUGAGCCAAUCCUUAGAAAGCCGAUCUCAGUUCGGAUUGGGGUCUGCAACUCGACCCCAUGAAGUCGGAGUCGCUAGUAAUCGCGGAUCAGCAAUGCCGCGGUGAAUACGUUCCCGGGCCUU
rnacentral:rRNA from 1 species